CCUACGGGUGGCAGCAGUGAGGAAUAUUGGUCAAUGGCCGGAAGGCUGAACCAGCCAUGCCGCGUGAAGGUCAGUGCCCUAUGGGCGUUAAACUUCUUUUGUGCGGGAGCAAUAAUGGUCACGUGUGGCCAGACGAGAGUACCGUACGAAUAAGCAUCGGCUAACUCCGUGCCAGCAGCCGCGGUAAUACGGGGGAUGCAAGCGUUAUCCGGAUUUAUUGGGUUUAAAGGGUGCGUAGGCUGUGAGGUAAGUCAGCGGUGAAAUGCCCCCGCUCAACGGGGUGAAGUGCCAUUGAUACUGCCUUGCUGGAAUGCGGAUGCCGUGGGAGGAAUGUGUGGUGUAGCGGUGAAAUGCUUAGAUAUCACGAAGAACUCCGAUUGCGAAGGCAGCUUACUAAACUGCCACUGACAUUGAUGCUCGAAAGUGUGGGUAUCAAACAGGAUUAGAUACCCGAGUAGUC
rnacentral:rRNA from 1 species